rnacentral:tRNA from 1 species
CGCGGGAUGUAGCAGCUUGGUAGCUCGUCGGGCUCAUAACCCGAAGGUCGUCGGUUCAAAUCCGGCUCCCGCAACCA